rnacentral:rRNA from 1 species
CCUACGGGGGGCUGCAGUCGAGAAUCUUCCGCAAUGGACGAAAGUCUGACGGAGCGACGCCGCGUGGAGGACGAAGGCCUUCGGGUUGUAAACUCCUGUCACGAGUUAAGAAGUGUACGUCAUUAAUACCGGCGUGCAUUGACGAAGGCUCGAGAGGAAGCACUGGCUAACUCUGUGCCAGCAGCCGCGGUAAUACAGAGAGUGCGAACGUUGUUCGGAAUUACUGGGCUUAAAGCGUACGUAGGCGGCGUGACAAGUGUCGGGUGAAAGCCCACGGCUUACCCGUGGAACUGCCUGGCAAACUGUCAUGCUAGAGUGUGGUAGGGGAGAACAGAACUCAUGGUGGAGCGGUGAAAUGCGUAGAUAUCAUGAGGAAUACCGGUGGCGAAGGCGGUUCUCUGGUCCACAACUGACGCUGAGGUACGAAAGCUAGGGUAGCG